rnacentral:rRNA from 1 species
UACAGAGGGUGCGAGCGUUAAUCGGAAUUACUGGGCGUAAAGCGCGCGUAGGCGGCUUUGCAAGUCGGGUGUGAAAUCCCCAGGCUUAACCUGGGAACUGCAUUCGAGACUGCAUUGCUAGAGUAUGGGAGAGGGAAGCGGAAUUCCUGGUGUAGCGGUGAAAUGCGUAGAUAUCAGGAGGAACACCUGCGGUGUAGACGGCUUACUGGACGGUAACUGACGCUGAGGCACGAAAGCGUGGGUAGCAAACAGG